rnacentral:hammerhead_ribozyme from 1 species
GUACUGUUGAGGAGUCCCAAAAUAGGACGAAACAGCUGUCCAGUAC